AAAUGGAGCUUUUGAAGCUCCAUAGAGCGUCCACAUCAGCAAAAAAACUUCUCCCGAAAGAUGACACGUGGCAUAAAAUAUAGUUUUACAUUUUAAUAUUACCAAUUUUCAAAAAUUAUAAAUAAUAUGUAAACAUACAGCAUAAAAAUAGAAAAACUAUAUUAAAAAUAUGUAAGAUUACCAUCUUUCACUUAAAAAAAGACGGCUUAUCUUCAUAAUGUAAUAAUACCGUUUUAUAAAAAAAAACAAAAAACAUUAUAUAUAAUUUUGAAAAUAAUAAAUAUAUGUAAAAAUACAACAUAAAAAAUGGAAAUACUACAUCAAACAUAUGUAAGAUUACCAUUUUACAUUUUUAUUUAAAAAAAUAAUAUGUAAACAUACAACAUAAAAAUGGAAAAACUACAUUAAACAUAUGUAAGAUUACCAUUUUUCACUAAAAAAAAGACGGUUUAUCUCCAUAAUGUAACAUUACUAUUUUGUAAAAAAAAACAUUAUAUAUAUAAUUUAGAAAAUAAUAAAUAAUAUGUAAACAUACAACAUAAAAAAUGGAAAUACUACAUUAAGCAUAUGUAAG
rnacentral:lncRNA from 1 species